rnacentral:rRNA from 1 species
GGCGGACGGGUGCGUAACGCGUAGGAAUCUACCUCGUAGUGGGGGACAACCCGGCGAAAGCCGGGCUAAUACCGCAUACGAUCUACGGAUGAAAGCAGGGGACCGUAAGGCCUUGCGCUAUGAGAUGAGCCUGCGUCGGAUUAGCUAGUUGGUGAGGUAAUGGCUCACCAAGGCGACGAUCCGUAGCUGGUCUGAGAGGACGACCAGCCACACUGGGACUGAGACACGGCCCAGACUCCUACGGGAGGCAGCAGUGGGGAAUAUUGGACAAUGGGGGCAACCCUGAUCCAGCAAUGCCGCGUGUGUGAAGAAGGCCUUCGGGUUGUAAAGCACUUUCGAUGGGGACAAACAAGUUCGACCUAAUACGUCGGACCCUGAUGGUACCCAGAGAAGAAGCACCGGCUAACUCUGUGCCAGCAGCCGCGGUAAUACAGAGGGUGCAAGCGUUAAUCGGAAUUACUGGGCGUAAAGGGUGCGUAGGUGGUUUGCUAAGUCAGGUGUGAAAGCCCGGGGCUCAACCUCGGAAUUGCAUUUGAUACUGGCGAACUAGAGUGUGGUAGAGGGUAGUGGAAUUCC